AGGGAUCAUUACUGAGUUACCGCUCUAUAACCCUUUGUGAACAUACCUAACCGUUGCUUCGGCGGGCAGGGGAAGCCUCUCGCGGGCCUCCCCUCCCGGCGCCGGCCCCCACCACGGGGACGGGGCGCCCGCCGGAGGAAACCAAACUCUAUUUACACGACGUCUCUUCUGAGUGGCACAAGCAAAUAAUUAAAACUUUUAACAACGGAUCUCUUGGUUCUGGCAUCGAUGAAGAACGCAGCGAAAUGCGAUAAGUAAUGUGAAUUGCAGAAUUCAGUGAAUCAUCGAAUCUUUGAACGCACAUUGCGCUCGCCAGCAUUCUGGCGAGCAUGCCUGUUCGAGCGUCAUUUCAACCCUCAAGCACCGCUUGGUUUUGGGGCCCCACGGCACACGUGGGCCCUUAAAGGUAGUGGCGGACCCUCCCGGAGCCUCCUUUGCGUAGUAACUAACGUCUCGCACUGGGAUCCGGAGGGACUCUUGCCGUAAAACCCCCAAAUUUUUUACAGGUUGACCUCGGAUCAGGUAGGAAUACCCGCUGAA
rnacentral:rRNA from 2 species